rnacentral:rRNA from 1 species
GACGAGUGGCGGACGGGUGAGUAAUGUCUGGGGAUCUGCCCGAUAGAGGGGGAUAACCACUGGAAACGGUGGCUAAUACCGCAUAACGUCGCAAGACCAAAGAGGGGGACCUUCGGGCCUCUCACUAUCGGAUGAACCCAGAUGGGAUUAGCUAGUAGGCGGGGUAACGGCCCACCUAGGCGACGAUCCCUAGCUGGUCUGAGAGGAUGACCAGCCACACUGGAACUGAGACACGGUCCAGACUCCUACGGGAGGCAGCAGUGGGGAAUAUUGCACAAUGGGCGCAAGCCUGAUGCAGCCAUGCCGCGUGUAUGAAGAAGGCCUUCGGGUUGUAAAGUACUUUCAGCGGGGAGGAAGGCGAUAAGGUUAAUAACCGUGUCGAUUGACGUUACCCGCAGAAGAAGCACCGGCUAACUCCGUGCCAGCAGCCGCGGUAAUACGGAGGGUGCAGCGUUAAUCGGAAUUACUGGGCGUAAAGCGCACGCAGGCGGUCUGUUAAGUCAGAUGUGAAAUCCCCGGGCUUAACCUGGGAACUGCAUUUGAAACUGGCAGGCUUGAGUCUCGUAGAGGGGGGUAGAAUUCCAGGUGUAGCGGUGAAAUGCGUAGAGAUCUGGAGGAAUACCGGUGGCGAAGGCGGCCCCCUGGACGAAGACUGACGCUCAGGUGCGAAAGCGUGGGGAGCAAACAGGAUUAGAUACCCUGGUAGUCCACGCCGUAAACGAUGUCGACUUGGAGGUUGUUCCCUUGAGGAGUGGCUUCCGGAGCUAACGCGUUAAGUCGACCGCCUGGGGAGUACGGCCGCAAGGUUAAAACUCAAAUGAAUUGACGGGGGCCCGCACAAGCGGUGGAGCAUGUGGUUUAAUUCGAUGCAACGCGAAGAACCUUACCUACUCUUGACAUCCACRGAAUUUGGCAGAGAUGCCUUAGUGCCUUCGGGAACCGUGAGACAGGUGCUGCAUGGCUGUCGUCAGCUCGUGUUGUGAAAUGUUGGGUUAAGUCCCGCAACGAGCGCAACCCUUAUCCUUUGUUGCCAGCGAUUCGGUCGGGAACUCAAAGGAGACUGCCGGUGAUAAACCGGAGGAAGGUGGGGAUGACGUCAAGUCAUCAUGGCCCUUACGAGUAGGGCUACACACGUGCUACAAUGGCGCAUACAAAGAGAAGCGACCUCGCGAGAGCAAGCGGACCUCAUAAAGUGCGUCGUAGUCCGGAUCGGAGUCUGCAACUCGACUCCGUGAAGUCGGAAUCGCUAGUAAUCGUGGAUCAGAAUGCCACGGUGAAUACGUUCCCGGGCCUUGUACACACCGCCCGUCACACCAUGGGAGUGGGUUGCAAAAGAAGUAGGUAGCUUAACCUU